GGUGUCCUGGAGGGAAAGGAGAGCAAGGGCAGGUGUUUUGAGGAGAGAGGCAAAAGGAGGAUUUCCCACAUCCUGAGAGGAGAUCAGAACCUGCAGAGCUCCUGUGAGGAAUGGGAUCCAUGCACUGUUUGAUGGUCUUUCCAUGAUGUAUAAAUGUGACUGCAAAGACCAGUAUGAAAUCAGUGGCCCUUCCUUCUCCAUGAGAGUCCUAGGCCAACGGGACUCAGCAGAACAUGCCAGUCAGAUGUUUGUGCAGUUGCUGGCUUCACAUGGCUUACAAGAGAAUCCCACCCGGAAAUGAGCUGCUGAGAAACUUCUUGAAUGCUUCACUUCCUACAAACCAGAUUGUAUUCAGCAGGUGGGAUGAAAGUGGCCAGCUUCCUGACAAGAGUCCAGUGCCAAUGACAGAAUUCUGAGAGGCAAAUAUAUGAUGAAGAAAAUGCCAAGUGAACAUCAGGUAGCCUGCAUGGAAGGCUAUGGCCUCCUUGAAGGAAAGGAUUUCGUCCUGACCAUCUAAGCAAAGGGCCCAGCAGAUGGUAAAUGCUCGGUGAGUCACAAGAAAGACAAAGGGAUGGAGAAUAGGAGGGAGAUGGGAAAGGGCGAAGGAAAGAUUCAAGUUCGGAUGUACAGUAAAGUAAACUUGGACAAAUGGCCAACUU